GGGGGCCCGCACAAGCGGCGGAGCAUGCGGAUUAAUUCGAUGCAACGCGAAGAACCUUACCAAGGCUUGACAUGAACCGGUAAGACCUGGAAACAGGUCCCCCGCUUGCGGUCGGUUUACAGGUGGUGCAUGGUUGUCGUCAGCUCGUGUCGUGAGAUGUUGGGUUAAGUCCCGCAACGAGCGCAACCCUCGUUUUAUGUUGCCAGCACGUGAUGGUGGGGACUCAUAGGAGACUGCCGGGGUCAACUCGGAGGAAGGUGGGGACGACGUCAAAUCAUCAUGCCCCUUAUGUCUUGGGCUUCACGCAUGCUACAAUGGCCGGUACAAAGGGUUGCGAUACUGUGAGGUGGAGCUAAUCCCAAAAAGCCGGUCUCAGUUCGGAUUGGGGUCUGCAACUCGACCCCAUGAAGUCGGAGUCGCUAGUAAUCGCAGAUCAGCAACGCUGCGGUGAAUACGUUCCCGGGCCUUGUACACACCGCCCGUCAAGUCACGAAAGUUGGUAACACCCGAAGCCGGUGGCCUAACCCCUUGUGGGAGGGAGCUGU
rnacentral:rRNA from 1 species